rnacentral:lncRNA from 1 species
UGAGUUCAAUUCUCAGCAGUCACAUGAUGUCUCACAACCAUCUGAAAUGGAAUCCAACGACCUCUUCUGGUGUGUCUGAAGACAACAACAGUGUACCCAUAUACAAUAAAUAAACAGAUUGAUUUUUUUUUUUUUUAAGUAUCUAAUCCCUUGGAGCUGGAGUUACAGGCAUUUGUAAGCUUCUGCUGUGGCUGUAAGUUAGGUCCUCAGGAAGUACCCAUAAUCUAUGAGCCGCCUCCUCAGCCAUUCUACAGUGCAUGUGUGCUUGUCUCUGUGGGGUGUGUGUUCAUGUGUAUUCAUGCGUUUGUACGCACAUGUGUGUACAUAGGUCAGAGGAGGGUUUUCCAACAGCACUGUGUAAAUGAGGACCAGUAAGUGUCCUGUCCUUGUUUCAAUCUGCAUGUAGAAUAGUUUGUCCUCUGGAACAUCUCUAAGACUCAGCCAUGAUAGCGCCGCGGUCAGGUAAAGCCACAGUGUCUUAGCAGCGGGUGUCUGUCUUGGCUGUGAGUUUAACUGCUCCAGGAUGAUGUUUCUUUAGUUGAAUUACUUUCUAUUGUGUAUUGCAACUAUUAGCUAAAGGCACACUGUUCACUAAGUUCUGCAUUGAAAGUAAUAUUGUGAGUUCCAGGUCAGCCUGAGUUACAUCACAAAACCCAGUCUAAAAAAAAAAAAAAACAGGAACAAAAGUCAGCAAGAGUGGCUCAUACCUUUAUUCCCACACCUGAGGUCCAGAGGUAGGCAAAUGUCUGAGUUCAAGGCUGGCUAGUUCUCAGACUUUUUUUUUUUAAUUCAGAAACAAGGUACUGAUGGUGCAGCCUAUAAAGGAACUUCCUGCCAACUGAGUGUGACUGCAUACCCCCACAUCCCACACAGUACAGAGGACCAGCUGUAAUGUUGGAGGCCAAACCUGGGGUCCUCUGCUCUUACUCACCAAGCUCUUUCUGGCCAUUAGAAUGAAUUUUAAAAUGUGAAAAAUAAACACAAAAGACUAGUAAAUAUCACUGAUUCUUAAUAUGUUUUGCUUACACUCCAGUCCAGAUUCAUCCAUUAAGGAAGAAAUUAUUCAUAUCAGUGGAGGUGGCUCACACACUGCUACAAUGAUGGAUGCUUGCCUGGCAUUCACAGAGAUCCGGCCUUGACCCUCAGCAUGAGAGUAGGCAUCAGGCACCAUGCCUGUAGUCCUCCAAGAUGGAGACAGAUCAGCAGACGUUCAACUAAUGGGCAAAACGGUGGCGGACAGUCUUCAUAUUUAGUAUUUAUAGGAAAGUUGAACUUAAAGAGUGUCUCUUGGGUAAUGAGUAGCAGUCUUGUUUAGGUCUGCCUAGCACAUUGAGUGUAGGUCUUUGAGGAGCUCAAGGAUCUGGACUGCCUUUUUUGUGUUUGUUUGUUUGUUUUGUUGUUGUUUUUUUUUCUUUUUCUCCCCCCCCCAUCAAAAUAUACCCUUGUUUUUUGUAAAUUUACUGUCUAAUGUGUAGUAUUUUGUCCUAUAAUUUCAUUUUUGAAAGAAUUGAUUGAAAAUCUGUAGUUUUUUGAGAUGAACGGUGUUAGCAUUUUAAACAGAUUAGUCUUGACCACAGAACUUGGCUAUCGAAUAGAAACUUGCAUAUUGUUCUUUAGUUUUAUGUAGCUUAAUGAAGUUUUAUUUCACAAACUUAGAUGGUUCUAACUUUGUGUUCUUCUGUUCCCAAGGUAAAAGGAGAAAACGAAGGCCAAACAGAAGCAGAGUCCAGGUUCUGUAAAAACUUGGAUUCCAAUGUCCCCAAACAGAAAACGAAGCUCACUUCAAAUACACACUUUCUGCCUUGAAAACUGAACGAAGCUAGCCUUCCUUUUUACACAGCCUAAGUCCUCUGGUGAAAUGUACAGCAGACUCUAGAGAGGCUAAGAGCAUCUCUGUUCUUCCCCUCCCCCAGACUUUUCCUGGGAAAAGUCAAUAAUUAAGCAAAUUGCUUAACACUUGGUUCCAGGUCCUGCAUAUCUGGAACUUAAAGGCAUAGUAACCAUUUUUUCCAUGCUGCAGAUUUCAUUUUAGAGAGGAACAGGGCGUCCAUUCACUGAUGCUGAGAACUGGUCCAUCCUAGAGCCCAGAACCCCGUGCCACACAGGCGAGCAGGUGUCUACUGAACUGAGGCUUUACAAGCGAGAGAGCAGAUGACAUAUUUCUUCGUUUUCCUUUUGGAAACUUAUGUAUUAUUCUUUCUGCCUGUCUACUUUUCUGCAAAAAAUGAGAUGUACAGAUUUCUGUUCCCUGCUAUGAAAAGUAAUGUGGCAAUUUUAUAAAUGUUGCUUUCUGAUUUUUAUCAGAAUGAGAAAAUAAUUAAAAUUAUUGAUCUGCAAGUAGUAAACACUUCAUAUUAUGAUUUCUCCCAUUUUAGUUUAAUAUAAUUUGCAAUAAAUGUACAUAUUGUUUCAUAAG